ACAGAGGUGGCAAGCGUUGUUCGGAAUUACUGGGCGUAAAGGGCGCGUAGGCGGUCUUGUCAGUCCCUUGUGAAAUCCCCCGGCUCAACUGGGGAACUGCACGGGAAACAGCAGGGCUUGAGUUCGGGAGAGGGAAGCGGAAUUCCGGGUGUAGCGGUGAAAUGCGUAGAUAUCCGGAGGAACACCGGUGGCGAAGGCGGCUUCCUGGACCGAUACUGACGCUGAGGCGCGAAAGCUAGGGGAGCAAACGGGA
rnacentral:rRNA from 1 species